GCUGAAGUGUGACUUGCCAUUGUCGAGCCAAUCUCAUACCAAGGUUCAACCUUGAGAUGCAGUAUGAGUUUAUGACUUAAUCUUCCGGGAUAUAUAUAUAUAUAUAUAUAUAUAUGACUAUUAAUCAUCUUUUCCCAUGCCAGAUAACUCCAACACACACACACUAUUGGCAUUAGAAAGUAGCAGUUUAUUCACCUAUAAUGACAUAGUGAGGAUCACCAAUAACUUCGAAAGGAGGAUCCGUAGAGGAGGAUCUGCAGAUGUGUUUUAUUGAAAGCUAAUUGAUGGCAGUGAAGUGGCAGUCAAGACAUUGACAGAGCAACUCUGCAAAGGAGCAAAGAAUUUGCAGCGGAGGUUUGCUUCUAGAAUUCAAAUAUUUGAUGCAAACAAAUUUGGUGCGUGCCUAGUCAACUUUGUUUCAAUUCUUGUAGAUCAAGUUAUUAACAAAAGUGUUGGGUCGGGUCCAGCUUCAAGAGAGGACCCGACCCGAUCCGACCCGUCACUUAAGUGACAGGCGGAAGAAAAGGGAGCGUACACGAUGGUGCCCCCAAUCUCUCUCAGGUCUCUCUCGUGUUUUUCUUUUGGGAAAAGAAAAGAGGGUUUCCCUCUUGUGGCUGCACACAGCAAGAAGAGAAGGGGAAGAGGAAGACAGGAAAAAGAAGAAAGAGAAAUUGCAGCAAGGUGUGUGGGUUGAUGGGCACACCAAGAAGAGAGAGGAAAGACAAAGAAAAAAGAGAAAUGGCAGGAAGGUGCAUGAGUUGAUCGGCACGCCAAGAAGAGAGAUGAAAGACAAAGAAGAAAGAGAAAAUGAAGCGAGUCUUCAUUGGGUGAUUUAUUUCUUGAAUCUUUGGGGCUCUUUCUUUUAUUCGUAUAAAUGAGUUUUAUUGUUUUCUUGAGUUUACUGUUUUUCUUGAUAUUGCUGCUAGUGUAUUUGGCUCCCUUUUUUUAUAUAUAAAAAGUCUCUCUUGCCUGUGGUUUUUUACCCUAUUAUUGAGGGUUUUUCCACGUAAAUUGGCCUCUCUUAUUUUCUGCAUUUUUGAGCAUAUAUCUUGGCGUAUAUUGCUGCAAUAUUGGUGUUGGAAACUCGAUCUUAUGUUCGUAGCCUUGUGAUUCUGAUUUUUAGCAGUUUUGUGCAUGUCCGACUAUCAUACUAAUUGGUUUGACCUGUUUUAUUGUUGUUGAAGCAUUUUUUUUUUUGGAAAACGACUACGUUCACCACAAGUACUUGGUCUCUUUCUACGGAUUCUGUGAGGAAUGAGACAAUAUGGUACUCCUUUAUGAAUAUAUGUCUGGAGGAAACUUGAUGGAGCUAUUACCAGGGACCAUUGUUGGAUGAUUAGCAUUUAUUCUGUUCAGCGAAGGAUUCCAGGAGCUCAGUGGUGGUUAGCUGGAAACAAAGAUUGGAAAUUGCUCUAAGCUCUGCCACAAGUUGAACUCAGUUUCAAGUCGUCCCAAAUUUCCUUUCAUGAGCAUCACAUGUUCUCAUAUAUUAAUUGCUAAAAGAAACUACGCAGGGCUGAAAUACCUGCAUUCAGGAUGCCGGCCACCAAUCAUACACAGGGAUGUGAAGACGAGCAAUAUCUUUCUCAAUAAAAUUUUAGAAGCCAAAAUUGUAGAUUUUGGACUGUCGAAGAUCUGUGCAACAGACGACAUUAACCAUAUGACAACUAUAGCCGCUGGAACCGCUGGAUAUAUGGACCCUGAGUAUUACAACACCAACAAACUGACCGAGAAAAGUGAUGUAUAUAGCUUUGAAGUUGUCCUUGAGCUAAUCACAGCCCACCGUGCCAUAUUAACGCUAGAAUCACAGUGAGUCCACAUCCUACAAUGGGUUACCCCCAAAAUUAUGAGGGCAGAUGUUGGGAGCAUUGCCGACCAUAGGCUCGAAGCGGCGAAGAGAAAGCAAUUAGAAGGCCUAGCGUGACUGAAGUUGUGAAUGGAUUGAAUUCUGCCAUGGAGAUUGAAGAUCGAGGUUCAGUAAGAGAAGGAGUUUCUGGCUCCCUGUCUUUUGAAGGCCAUUCUCACUCGGACAAUGGUUCAUCUAUAUACCCAUCAGCAAGGUAAGGAGAAGGUCCUCAAGUUACCACCUUAAGAUUCCAUAGUACCGAAGGCAUUGUGAGGAGAAGAAUCUAUAUAGGCACUAUAUGAUAAGAUUCCUGACUUUUAUGGUUGUGCUUGCCUUUCAAUUGACAAAAUGGUAUUGGGUAGAGCCCACCGAGGCCAGUUUCCGUGUUAGGUGGCUAGAACAUAUAUGGUUGUUCUUGUACCAUUUCUAGUUAUUUUAGAGAAAAUUAAGUAACUCGAGAGAAUGAUAAUGAUAAUAUAUUUUUUUUAA